GGGAAUGUGGCUUAGUGGUAGAGCGCUUGCCUAGCAUGCAUGAAGCCAUGGGUUCAAUUCCUCAGUACCA
rnacentral:tRNA from 1 species